CGUAGGUGGCAAGCGUUGUCCGGAAUUACUGGGUGUAAAGGGAGCGCAGGCGGGUGAUCAAGUCAGCUGUGAAACUACGGGCUUAACCCGUAGACUGCAGUUGAAACUGUUCAUCUUGAGUGAAGUAGAGGUUGGCGGAAUUCCGAGUGUAGCGGUGAAAUUGCGUAGAUAUUCGGAGGAACACCGGUGGCGAAGGCGGCCAACUGGGCUUUAACUGACGCUGAGGCUCGAAAGUGUGGGGAGCAAACAGGAUU
rnacentral:rRNA from 1 species